GCUGUUGAGAAUGUGUGUGCAGCUCACAGGGCUGGCUUCAAGCCUCCCGAGGCUUUUCUCAGAUAAAAAGGUUGUUCACUACCCAGUUCCUGAGAGAAAAACCUCAGAGACAUGUCCAGUGCUGUUUGCUGGUGAAUAUGAAUCCAGAGGAUUCUCUGAGGAGGGAAAAAGGAAAAUCUGUAUUUUGAAGUAAACAAAGAAACUCUUCUGCCUCUUAACGCUAGUCUGAAACAGGAAGAUGUUGUGAAUACAGCAUGCUGGAAAUCAUUUAUGCAUCUGCCAUGAAAUACCUGGAAGAAGAAAAGAACCUGAAUGGAAACUGCCUUAUCAGGCACCAGCAGAAUCAGUCAUCACAAAUCGAGGCUCACUGCCAUGAAAGAGCCAAUAAGGAAAACAGGACUGGGUUUGGAAAGGAGAUGGAAAGCUUGCACCUCUCACAAAAUGCAGGCUCCA